rnacentral:tRNA from 1 species
GGGCGCAUAGCUCAGUUGGCUAGAGCCAUCGGCUCAUAACCGAUCGGUCGUAGGUUCGAGUCCUACUGCGCCCA